rnacentral:rRNA from 1 species
UACGUAGGUGACAAGCGUUGUCCGGAUUUACUGGGCGUAAAGAGCGCGCAGGCGGUCGAUCAAGUCGAGUGUGAAAGCCCUCGGCUCAACUGGGGAGGGUCAUUCGAUACUGAUCGACUCGAAGGCAGGAGAGGGUAGUGGAAUUCCCGGUGUAGUGGUGAAAUGCGUAGAUAUCGGGAGGAACACCAGUGGCGAAGGCGACUACCUGGCCUGUUCUUGACGCUGAGGCGCGAAAGCUAGGGGAGCAAACGGG